GAUUCGCAAAGAUCAGCUUCAAGAAUGACAGGACUGGAGCCAUUAGCAAGCUCAUCCAGCAGUGAUCAUCCAUCAGAGGUGAGUGUCUCCAUAUCCUGAUGCAGAGGAGUGUGAGGAGCAGCACCACAUUCCUGCCUGCAGAAGCUCCAAGAGGCUUGGGACACGUGCAGAUAAUCUCCUGAAUUCCCUCAUUUUCCUGCUGCAGACUGUCAGCCCAGGGGUGUGUUUGCUCAGCAAUGGAUGAAGCUGGCAGUGACUCCACCAGGCUGAGUAGUUGCAACACUCAGUGGGAGACCAUCUUCUCCUCAACCAGUGCUAGGUGAGAAGCAGUUCGACCUGGUUUGUAAUUUGGAAUAUCUCUCAUGUGGUCAUUGAGAUGAAGAGUUGAUGGACAGUCUCCAGGGAACUGCAACACCAAUUUGGAUUUGGUAUUUCCUACCGAGAGCACAGGCAGUGCCAACACCGCAGAAGAGAACGAGGAGUAAGGGCUCCAGCUGCUCCUCCACUGCUCGUCAGCUUCUGCAGGUCUCACCUCCGUGAGGCAGCCUGGUGGUACCGGUCAGUGUUCAAACUGGUCAAAAUGUGGUGAGAAACAGACAAUUUCAUUCCCCUCGCUCAAAGCUGGGAUAGCCUCCAGAUUAAAUUCCACCUCCUGGUAACUCCUACUGGAUGUAUCUUCUACCAAAGGCCUGUGGAAAGGACCUGAACCAGAGGAGGUUUGGCCCUUCGCAUCUGUGGUGCAGAAUCCAGCGGUGCAUUAUUCUGAUUAGAAGGUCUAAUACAGCAAAUAGAGCAUAUCAAACUGUCUACUGUGUUUCAUCAUCCAUAAUUUCCUGCAGCAACCUACAGCCAUCCAAGCUGCUUCAACCUCCCUCUCACAACCCUGAGAGAUGCUGUCCCAGCAGAGGGGUCCCUGCGUCACCAGCACCUCAGCACUGACAGAGCAGUGUGAUGCCUUCAGAGCAUUCAGCGGGUCCCUCACCUUUUACUGGGCAUCUGAAACUGCCGUGGGGAGAGGCAGGAGGCACCCCGGGGCCUGGCUGUCCCCACAGAGAGUGCGUGACCACCUCUGGGGAAAGAACUUCGGGAGCGCCCAGGCUGCGCAGCAGGAAAACAAUGAGCAGGAGAAAACCUGGAAGCUUUUUGCUGCACUGUUGAAUAUGGAAAUAUAAAAACGUUUGUACCUGGAGCAUCUCUGUCCCUCUUUCCAAUGGGUGACUUCUGAAGCUGGAACUACCCCGCUACCUGCAGCAGCCACUUCUUUCACU
rnacentral:lncRNA from 1 species